UACGUAGGGUGCAAGCGUUAAUCGGAAUUACUGGGCGUAAAGCGUGCGCAGGCGGUUUUGUAAGUCUGACGUGAAAUCCCCCGGCUCAACCUGGGAGUUGCGUUGGAGACUGCAAGGCUAGAAUCUGGCAGAGGGGGGUAGAAUUCCACGUGUAGCAGUGAAAUGCGUAGAGAUGUGGAGGAACACCGAUGGCGAAGGCAGCCCCCUGGGUCAAGAUUGACGCUCAUGCACGAAAGCGUGGGGAGCAAACAGG
rnacentral:rRNA from 1 species